rnacentral:lncRNA from 1 species
AAUAAUAACAUUACUAUAGUAAUGUAGUAAAAGCAUUACUGUAAAAGAUUUUGUGAAUUUAUGUCGAGAAAAGUAGCAAUCAUGUCUUUACACAAAGAAAAAUGAAAAUCCUAUCCUUUAAAAAGCUAAAACAUGUACAUGUACUAUAUCAGCGACCAUCUAUAGACUUUCAAGAAGACAAUGCCAAAGGUACUAAUGAGUUAUAAGGUCUCAAAUCACAAGUUUCAAAGCAAAGGUCAAUAAUUCUAAAUCCAUAACUCCACAAUGAUACUAAGGAUAGUAACCACAAGUCCAUGAAUCAGGAUAAUCAAGGUUCUUUUUAGGUUUUUUCUUUAUUAAUGUCUUUUUUACAAUGACAUGAAAGUAAAGUCCAAAUGGACAAAGAACAAAUGAGAAAAUCACAAAUAAUAUGAUAUGGGAUGCUAACAUAAAGAAUAAAGUAAAUGGUAUAAAGGUAAAAUCAUAAAGUAAAUGACAUAACAAUAUAAAGCAUAAGUAAAUGAUAUUUGAAGUAAAAGUUAAUACAAUAAAAUGUUAGUAAAUGAUGUUAGUAAUUAAGAUGAAAGAUUGUUUGGUCAUUUUUGGAGAACACUCAACUAUCAACUCACAAGCAUGAAUAUAAACAUAUACAUCAUUUUAUGAGAAGGGCUCCAACUUGGAUAAAAUCAAGCAAGUAUGCCACUAGCUCUCAUAAAUGGAAAAAGAGAAAUAUUUUCACACAAUACUAUGAGGAGUAGGAGACUUACAAUCUCACUUAUAAAAAUGCCUUUGCUUUUGAGACAAAUUUAACACUAUGUUAAACAAUCGUAAUUGGACUUAUGUAGAAGUUACAACUAUCUAAGGUCGGCCAAUAAUAAUGUUUAUGUUAAUAUAUGCUAGAGAAACAAUAUGUAAAUCAUUCUCCCAAAGUCAUGCCACAAAAAAAAAGGAUGAUCAAACACAAAGGCUAAAAGGAUGGUCCAUUACUUCAAUCCACACUUCAUGACACUUAGGAAAAACUUAUGCAUCAAUCCAAAGUACCUUAACUAAUCCAUGAUCACUUAGAAGAUAGAUUUGAAAUGAUGAAAAUUCAUCAAGUACCAAUCCAUACAUCAUGAAUAAGAUGGACAAAAACCAUCUAAUCAAUCAUCCCAUCAACACCCAAGAUCCAUUGAGUAUGAUGAGACUUGAAGUCUAAACCAUCAUGAUCUAAGACCAACAGAAGUUCACAAGAGUCACAAAAUAUAAAAUGAAAUUAAGUGAAAUAAAAAUGCACCAAAGGUAUUUUUUAAAUGAAUUUUAAAAUAGAAAUUUUUACCUUUUAGGUAUUUCAGGAAGUUUUGUGAUUUAUUUACGCCCAAAAAAUUAUGGAAGGUUGGAAAUAAAAUAAGAAGCAUAUAAUCAUUUUUUCAGAAUUUAAAAUUGCAGAAAAGUAUUUUUAAACCAAUUAAAAUAAAGAAGAAAAGAGAAAAGAGAAAAGAGAAAAUUCAUAAAAAAUAGAAAGUUAGUGAAAUGAAAUGAAAAUAAAUAAAAAUCAGAUGAAAAAAAUAAAAGAGAAUUUUAGAAAUGAUUUUGGAUAAAUAAUGUAAUUAUAUGAAUUUUAAAAGAAAAAUAAAUUAAAAAUAAUAAAAGAAAAAGAAUUAAAAAAAAAAAAAAACACGGAGCGUUGGAUCACGCCUCAUUAACUAACGUGGCAGAUCUAACACUUCACAUGUUAAAGAACACGAUGAAACGCGUUGCAAGCAAUACACAUGAUCCAAUUCAAAUCCAACCCAUCAGAAUAUUUCAUUCCUCCAACGUGUCUAACUAAACUCAAACAACCUGAGAAAACUCCGGUCGUCUUUUCCGGUGAGCUCUCAUCGGAGCUUCAUCUUUUGGUAAAGUCAGAACACGAGACCACCACCAUUAUGACCCUCUUCUCAUCCUGAAUUCAACCUCAUGCUACAAAUUCAUUUAUAUAAACUUAACAAAGGGAAUUUUAGAGAAGUUUCAUAAAUAAGCAAGCCAUGAAAAAUUAAAUUAAAUGAUGAACACGAUCAAUCAACACCAGAUAAGUUAGGGGAAAGAAUCAGAGAGUGAAUGACUAAAUUAUGGUAACUUAUUUGAGUUCAAAUGAUGCUCAAAACUACCUUUUCCAAAUGGUGAUGAGAAGUUGAUAAAACUCGAUUUGGUUAGAGCACUUCAGAAGGUCUCAGAGCUUGGGAAUUGUUGCAAAAAUUUCAGAGGAUGCCGAAGGUGCUAAUGGAAUAAAAAAUUGGAUUGAAACAAGCUGAAACUCAACAUGAUAGUUGAAUUUUCUGGAAAAAGUUUCAAGUUGCAGCAGGAUUUCUUGUCUCUCAAAAGCUUGGAAAUGAAUGCAAUAGCUUCCUCUAUUUAUAGGAAACGUGAUUGGAUCAAAAUACGUGUGAAAUGGUGCAGAAUUCCUACAAAAUGAAUUUGAUCCGAGUCUGAGAAAAGUGUGACUUGAAACUCCUUAAAAUGCAGCCAAAUGAUGCAUUUUAAGGGUCAGUUAACUUAUAAUGACUUGGUUAAACAUGUUUAGUUCCAAAACACAUGCUAAUUCGGUUUGGAAUUGAGAUUAGUGAAGUUCAAAACUCGGGCAAUGAUAAUUUCUUCAGUUACAAGUCACCAUGUUCAACCCAAUGAGGCACCCUACUCAGGAGGCUUUUUGAUCCCAUUCUUUUUGCAAUGUGUUAACAUCAUGUCAAAGAUUACAAUAUGCCAAGAAAGGUUGUAUUUGGAUGCUUAAGUACAAAUUUAUGUCAUGUUGAAGUUGGCAUUAGAAACUAAUCAUACAACUUAGAAACAUUUGAGUGCUUCAUGGCUGAAAGUGACCUGUAAUGUUUCAAUGAAUUCCAUGGCCUUCUAAGCAUAUUCUAACCUUGAUCCUUGAAGCAAAAUUAUAGAGGGAGUCACAAUUGGCAUUGUGAAAAAAGAAUCGGCCUCAUAUUUGAAAAUAGAAGAAGUUAUUAUCUUUUAAAGUUGGGAAAAAGUCACUUGAAAAUAGGUCAAAUUUCAUUAAGUCCACAAAUGACCUAUAAUGUCUCCAAACUUUUGAUGAUCCUCCAAGAAUAAUAAACUCUUGUCAUGUAAAGAGAAGUUGCAGGGGAUGUUGAGAAGAGUCAUAUGCAAAAAUGAGCAUUCAAAAAAUGUUGAGAAUUGAAGGAGUUGUGAUUCUUGGAACCUUGGCUUUAAAAUAUUGACUUUUUGGUCAAACCACAUGGAACAAGCUUGUGCAUUUGGACCUUUCUUGCAUUUCAAAGCUCAUGGGUGAUCAUAUGAACUCAAAAUAAGGCACCCUUGAUUUUCUCUUGAUUAAAUUGCUCAAAGUUUAAAGAUGCUUGUUGAAGAAGGCAUGAAAAUAAACACAUGAACCUUUGACUUUCCUUGAGAAGUAAGCCACAGAACUUUGAGAUGCUCUUGAUUGAAAAUCCCUAACUUGCAAUAUAAAUUUAAUAAAACACAUUUUUUGCUAUUUUUAUUAGUGAUUAGAUAAUCAAUUAAUCAUGUAAACAUAAAGAUAAAACAUCAACAAAGAGGUGUUUGAUGAUCUUUGCGAAAAGCAAACCCAAAGAUGGAUAAGGGGAAUGACCAAGAUGUGACCUUGUUUUUGUGUAAAUGAUGCAAAUGAUAUAUGGGAUCUUAGGGUUAAAAAUUAUGGUAUGACAGUUGUAGUACCCCAAAAUCCCCCAGAGAAGAGAUUCAUUUGUUUCUUUUGAGGAGAUUAGUGUAGACCAUUGAGUGGCUCUGAUAUCCCCGUUCUGUUUUGGAGAUUGGUAUAAGUCCAGUGAUUGGCAUCCGAUAUCCGCUUUUGUUGACUUUCUUUCUUGUUUGUUUGUUAUUAUCCAUUGUUAUUCCAAAGGACACACUUGAAUCAUCUCCUAUAUGAUCUCAAGAAGUGAACCUUCUAAGAAGUUUUACAAUCCAUCUUCAUCCAUUCAUCCAUUAUAUCCUAAACCUUUUCAACACUUUGAAUUCAAACUUGACAUAGAUAUUGUGGCAAACAUCUUCAUGUUUUCAAACUAAAAACCUGUACCCAAGUCCUUGACUUUUUUCAAACUCCAUUUCAUAAUACUCUUUUGAAUUAAUCUUAAUCAUACUUUGACUCCACUUUCAUAAUCACAAUCAAUUAACUUCACUCAUUCUUGUUUUGGCUUUGUCAUUGUUAAUCUUUUCAUGCAUUAGCCAUAGGUUUCAAUUAUCUUUGUGGUUGAUGUAAAUCUUGCCUAUCCUUAGUGAGUCGACAGUAAGACUUCCGUACUGAAAACAGGGCUAACCCCUCUAGUACGUCGAAGCUAUCCUCGCAUGGUGGAUGUUGGUCUUGGUCGAGUUUUCUCCAUUGAUAAUGAAAAGCCUCAGUGCUAUUGUUUAAAAUCAAUCCACCAACUUUUGGAAAUCUUUUAGCCGAACUACGGCGUUUUGAUCCUUACCUUUGAUGGAAGGUACGUAGGCAGCGGGUUCAUCCGUUCAGAACCCAAUAAUAAAAAUUGUACAUUCUUUUCUCAUCAUCCCAAUCAUGUUUGCACAAUAUUUAUGUCAUAACAAAUAACAAUUUAUACAACAAGUGUGAAAAGGGCUCCUAGGAGUCACCUAGGACGUAGUGGGUGCCUAACACCUUCCCAUUGUGUAAUUUACCCCUUACCCAGACUCUCUGAUCUUUUUAUUAGUUUUUUACGUGUAAACUUCUUAGACUUUUGUUCGCUUUUUAGCCAGUCUUUGGAUAAAUAAAAGUGCGGUGGCGACUCGAAAUUUCAUUGUAUACCUUGCUUAUGGUUUAAUCAAUAAAUCAUAUAGCGACGAACGAAUACACCGCUACAUACCCCAAACCCCCCCCCCCCCUCAUUUUGCUUUUUUUCCUAACCUUAUUCAUGUCUCAUUAACACAACAUCAUUCAGUCAUGAUUAACACUUGCUAACGAGUAUCAUAGAUUCAAAGUUCAUGGUAGAUAAAAUCAGGGAUUUGGCUUGAAGAUUGUGGUUUUCCUCAUCAUGUGGGGUGAAACUCUGAUUGCUUGGUUGAUGACUUUUGAGGAUCCUUUUGGUUUGCUUUGACUUGGAACCCUAUCUGUGGUUCCUGACAUUAGUGCAUUGCUUGUACUGACUAUCUCUUGGUUGGAGAUUUUGGUUAUUACUUGACACUGCUAUUUGAGUAACUAAACCCUUACUGCAUGGCUCGUGUUUGAUCGGUGCCAAGCAUGCUUGCAUUCGUAUUCCACUACACCAGGUCAUUAAUUGCGUUUGACCCCGAGUCACUUCACCCAUUAAUUCCAGUGGACUUCAUUGAUUUAAAGUUCAUUUGAUUCAGUUUGAUCAAUCAUGGCAUGAUCACUAGGUGUCACUAUCAUGCAUUCAUAAAAUAUAUUAGUUCUAAUUGGUUCAUGGUCCUCUUAAACACAACAUUUUUAAUCAGAGAAGUUUAUUUCAUCAUCUUUUGUAUCAGUUGACUUUUUGGUCAACCAGUUGAACCAAGUCAACUUAUCAUACUUGACCAUGNAGUUGACCAAAGUCAACUUAUCAUACUUGACCAUGACAUUUAGCAUAAAUAUCAACUGUCAUUUCGUCAUUGCUUCAAAUUGAUUUUAAAUUCAAAUUGAUUGUAUAAAUUUCGUAUUAAUGGGCCAUGAUUGGCAAAUUAAUAGUUGGCCCUUUCAUUCAUUCAUUAUUAUAUCAAAAAUUCAGCACAAGGAUUACAAUUUGUUUCACAUGUUAAGCCCACGACUCAAAAUUAACAUCCGAUUCCACUAUUUCUUUUUUACCAACAAUUAUCCAAUUUCCAUAUCGAUUUUGUGAAUCAUUUCUCUUACCCAAAUGCUACUAUGUUCAUAUCCAUCAAAAUCCAUUCACCUAAAUGCCCAUUUUCCAUAUCCAACGCAAACCAAAUUACCUUCUCAAUACAUAAACAACAUGAACCAUGUUCAUUGAGCUUUUUCAUUCCAAUUCCCAAAUUUCUUAGAAGUUGAUCACCGACACAUAAUAUUGGAUCAUCAUAAACCGACUUGAACCACACACUUUCAUUUUUCGGUUCAUGUAAUUUCUAACGUCCUUCCAAAUAUCAAUCAUUUUUGUAUUUCAAUUUCACCAAUCAUAUUCAAUCACACAAAUCCAUUCUAUUUCCAAGGUCACAACACUAUUUGUUUUAUAUAAGCACAUUACAUACAUUCCAUUACAAAUUUUCAAAACCAAACUCAUUAUAAUUUCAAACCUAACAUUAAAAUUCCAAACACCAUUUUGCUUACACAUUCAAAUUCUAAUUCUAUUCAAUCCAAGUGCAUCGUAUUACAACUCUAACUCCAUUCUAAUUCCAAAUACAUUUGCAUUUGAAUCGAAAAUUGCAUUACAACACUUUAUGCCAAUACGUAAACCAUACAUUCAAAACAAUGCUAAUCCAUCUCAAGAGUCACAAAAAUUAUAGGGAGACUAAAUCCAAGUAAGUACUAACAUGCUAAAAUAAUUUCCAAGACAUCACCAUCUUCAUGCCAUUGUCAUUCAAAGACCAAGUUAGUUUCCCUUCCAUGAACUACCUGUAAAAAACCGAGAAAAAGCCACUAGCAGUAGAAUAAGCAGCAUUGCAGGAUUUUUAAGUCCAACAGAAAAUAAAAUCGCAGAAAACAACUUCCUAAAUAACAUCCCAAUGCCAUCAACCAACUUAACAAAACCUCAACCAACUUAACAAACUACAACCUGUCAAUAAAUUCUAACUGCCUAACCGAAUUAACUAACCAAUAGUUUUCACUAACACAAUAAAAACCAAAACAGAUUUGCAACUAACUGUAACAGAUAUCCAACUAACUUCUUAACCUCCAACCGACUCAACCGAACAAUAAAAAGAAUUAGGAUAAAAAGCUAUCAAGGUUUAUUUUGAAUACUAUUAUGAUGAGAGUAUUUAAAAAUAUCUUUGUAUGAGUAUCAAUCAUUCUUCUUUAAAUAACUUUAGUACGAAUAAAUAUAAUAAUAACAUUACUAUAGUAAUGUAGUAAAAACAUUACUGGAAAAGAUUUUGUGAAUUUAUGUCGAGAAAAGUAGCAAUCAUGUCUUUACACAAAGAAAAAUGAAAAUCAUAUCCUUUAAAAAGCUAAAACAUGUACAUGUACAUGUACAUGUACUACAUCAGCGACCAUCUAUAGACUUUCAAGAAGACAAUGAUCAACAAAAAUACGAAGGUGUACAUUAAUUGUGUUCGGUUAAUUUUGC